AAGACUGUGCUUUCAGGGAUCAUUUCUAUAGUUGGUGAUUAGAGAAGGAUGUGUGUGAAAAGCUGGUCUUGCUAACCAUGAUGAAGAAUUAUAGUGUUUUCUUCUGAGUAUGAUAGUAGCAGACAGUGUGGGUCUGUGCUAGUUACUUUCUGCUGUGGAUGAUUGUUCUCUUUUUCCUGGGAAAAGCAGGGGAAGGAACCACAAGCUGAGUGGU
rnacentral:snoRNA from 1 species